rnacentral:rRNA from 1 species
AACGUAGGACACGAGCGUUAUCCGGAGUUACUGGGCGUAAAGGGCAGGUAGGCGGACAGGCAAGUUGGGUGUGAAAUCUCCCUGGCUUAACCGGGAGGGUGCACUCGAAACUGUCUGACUGGAGGGCGACAGAGGAGCGUGGAAUUCCGGGUGGAGUGGUGAAAUGCGUAGAGAUCCGGAGGAACACCAGAGGCGAAAGCGGCGCUCUGGGUCGCACCUGACGCUGAACUGCGAAAGCCAGGGUAGCGAACGGG